rnacentral:lncRNA from 1 species
AUAAUUAAAAGCCAAAAUAACCGAAUGAAAAUAUUAUUUAAAAUGCCGCUCGGCAUAUACAAUACAACUUCUCGAAGAUUAACAACAUUUCCCAAAAUCUGGAAUCUCAUGAAACCACAAGCCUUGGAAUGUCUACCGGUGUAUAACUCCAGAAUAUCUAACAAGGAAAAGAAAAUACAAAAGGGCUAAGACAAUAGGGAGAGUAGAAAGGGACUUCUCGAUCUGCGGACGCGACAGAUAUACCUCGAAGUCUCUGGAACAGUUGCUUCGCCUCAAGGGUGAUAGGACUGAGUCAAAGUACCUGGACCUGCACAUGAAAAACAUGCACAGAAAGGGCAUGAGUACACCACAGCGGUACUCAGUAAGUUCCAAGCCUAACCUCGGUCAGGCAGUGACGAGGAAGGUAGGGCCCUACUAAGGUUAAAUAAAAUAUAAAGUUCGACAGUGUAGAACAUAUCAGUAUAAAUAAGUAUAGCAGUAAAAGUAACACAAGGUAUAAAAGGGCAACAACAACUAUUACAGAGGCAAGGUAAACACAAAAAGAAAUACGACUCAGCACCAAAAUAACAAUCGGGGAUCUCCCAGGAUACUGUCCUGUAGCCCCAAAUAUACAUAUCCAAUGGAUCUCCCGGGAUCUUGUCCCGUAGUCCAACUCAUAGUGCGCGGGGAUCUACCGGAAUCCCGUACCGUAGUCCCAAAUGUAAAUACCCAAUACUGGGGGAAUCUACCGGGUGCAUUCCCGUAGUUCCAUAUAACCGUGCAGGGGGAUCUACCGGAAUCCCACAUCCGUAGUUCCAAAUAUAAACAGACAAGGGGGAGCUACCGGAAUCCCACAUCCGUAGUCCCAAUGUAAAUACACAGCAACAAUAGGAAAAUAUUCAGAAAUGUCAAAUUUCAUAUUAAGGCAAACAAGUAAUUCUAGCCUAGCAUGUUGCACAUAAUUCAGGUAAGGCAGUUUGAGCAAAUACAACAAUUAAAUCACUUAGACAUGCUUUCCUAAACUAACAACAAACUUAAUAUUGCAAGUAAUAAAAACAGGAAAGGAAACGUACUAGUAAUUACUUAAUGAAAAACCAGAUUUCCAACAAUUAGCACAAGUACGCACUCGUCACCUUACGUACAACGCAUCUCAAUUACCAAAUAUACCAAAUCCUAAGGGGAAAGUCCUCCACACAAGGUUAGACAAGCCACUUACCUCGAACCAUCUCAAAAUCAAUCUGAAACCACGCUCUUGCCGCGAGUACUCGACACCAAAUGGCCCGAAUCUAUUCAAUUCAAUUUCAUAAUGUAAAUAACACUUCGAGUAACUGUCACACCUCCUUUUUUACCUACACCCCCGGAAGGGCGUAAAGGGUGUAUAAGGGAGUUUUUCCAAUUAAAGGACAAUCGAAAUAGGAUUUAUUUAUUUAUUUAAAAUUCAGAGUCGCCACUUGGGAGAUUUAUGGUGUCCCAAGUCACCGGUUUAAAAUUCCGAAUCGGGAAAAUGUUGACUCUGUAUUACAGUCCACGAACCAGAAAUCCGAGUAAGGAAUUCUGUUAACUCGGGAGAAAGUGUUAGGCAUUCCCGAGUUCCGUGGUUCUAGCACGGUCGCUCAACUGUUAUAUUCGGCUUAAUAUCUGAUUUUAAACAAUUAUGAAUCUAUGUGCAGAUUUUAACUUUUGACCGCUUUUAGUUAAUUUAAGGAAGAUUUCAACGUUAUCUAAAACACGUCUUUGGACCACGCCACAUGAAAUGCACCCGCGGUCCGAGACACAUUUUAUUUAACGUUGUUAAAAUUUUAGAACCGGGCCACAUGAAAUGUACCCCGAGUUUUGGAAAUUAAGCAUCACAACUACGUCACGGGAACCAAACCCGUAGCCAUGAUAAUUAUUAUAACGCGCCAGAAGCACACUACAAUGUUCAUGAUUCUUCCUAAACUUCGAGAUUAUUGUGAGGCUCAAGUGUUAUGGAAGUCAAAUGUGGGAGCAAAGAGAUUUAUCUUUUACGGAUACAUUUGUAAUGCAAGAUUUGUUUAUUUGGCUCAUAUUCUUUCAACUGGCCAUCGAUAUAAUUUGACAAAAUUAAACUUCCCUUUCCUAAAUAGCCCAAUUACUGCAACUAUUAAUUUAAAGUAAAGGAAAACUAAAAUUACAUUAAAAUUCCAUUUUUUCAUACUACUCAAAGGACGUUUUGGUCAUGCUGAAUUGUUCAGGCACAUAAGGAAUGAAUUGAGUAAUCAAAUUUCUAACACAAACUUCAAAACUUGAUGGGAAAAGAUAGCUGUACUUAAAUUGGAAUUCAGUUACACUUACUAAGAUAAACUUAUUCACCUUAAGAGCAAAAUAAGUCUGACAAACUAGGUCCAAAUCUCAUUAUUAAACACUCGUUACCACAGAUCAAAGAAUGAUACAAUUAAUAAUAAGAGCAAUGAGUAAACUAAUCAAAUCAACAAAAUAAAUGCAUACCACAGGAAAAAAAACAAAACAAACCAAAGCAUUCAACAAGCUGAAAUAACGAGAUGAGAUAAAAUGAAUAACGGAUGGACCUUAAAUAUCUGCAAACUUUCUUCAAUAUCCGGAUCAAUUACAGAGCCUCCAACAAGAUCGUAUAGCAACACUAAAUAGAAUAACCCGCCAGAGUGAAGAAUCGCCAGGACCUUCGACUGGAUUUCUAACGGAAUCCGCUCGUCGGCGGCGACAUCGACCCCGAUGAACUCGAUUUUGGAGUCGCUGUUCUUCUGUGCGAGAAGGAGAGUAGUUUUAGGUGAUUUUCACAGCUGUGUUUGGAGCUGAAGAGGAGGUGUGGUCGCCGGACAUGGAGAAGGGAGAUUGGUUUUGAAGGUGAUAAACAACGACCCUAAAACUUUUUCCUUUCAAUCUGCUUUCUGAUUUUCACUCGAAACUGGAUCAUGAACGAAGAAACCAAUUUCGUCUAGGGUGGAGAUGGUCGCUCUAGGGUGCGUCGUUCAUGUCUGUUCCGUGCGAAGAAGAAGAAACAACGACGACGGGAUUUUUUGAUUCCGGCGAACUUGGUUGACGGGGGAUGCAGAGGAUCGUCGUCUGGGUGAUCGGCGUAAGCUCAGGUGCGGGGUGUGGUGAUUUCCGGCGAAAGGUCACUGUUUUGGGUUAUUCUGCUGAAGAAGAUGAACAAUGACAAUGGGUCGUUUGGAGAAUCUUUUCAGCUUUUCAUCAGUUUUUCCAGCCUUCUCCUUUGUUCAGCGUUUUUUUCUCUUUUUUAUAUUGUAGAACCUAGGUUUUUGGUAGGGUCUUAGUUAAGGGGUAUGAACCUAGGAAUUAUGGGUUUGAAAAUUAUGAGCUAGGUCCAAAAUUAGGCUUAAAAAUGGGUUGCUCGAGCCCAAGUUCUAUUCUUUUCCUGCGAACGAGAUUAAAAUACGGUUCCAUUUAUUAAUUAAUCCUACUAUUCAAAUAA